rnacentral:lncRNA from 10 species
GAAUUUUCUGCCAAAAGUUCUUGCCACUGAGUCAUCACCAUCUUCAUAUUUUUAAAAAACAUGAGCAAGUCUCAGCAGCACUUCAUUCACAUUAGUAAACAUUACCUAGGGAAAGAAAGAACAGGCCUCAAGAACAUGACAUCAUCAUUAAAAAAUAAAUGUUUACUGAGUCCCUAUUCAGUGUGUGGCCCUGUGUUAGCCCUAGAAAUAUAAAAAUGUGCCUGCUUUUAGGCUCACAUGCACACACAUAUACUCCCAUGUGUUAAAUCUAGAGAAGUGGUGCAGACUAGAAGGAUUAUCGGAAUUCCAAGGAGGGAGCAAUUCUGCUCCAAGGGCUGGGGUGGUCACAAAAGGUAGGGCUCCAGGCCCCAAAGAAAGGGUAGAGAGCUUGAGGGAAUUAAUGUGAACAAAGACCAGGAAAUAGUAAUGAAAAUAGUUUGGGGGAAAAUAAUUAGUAGACCAUUUGAUGGGAGCAGACAGAUUGUGUGGACUGGAAGAUGACUAGGAGAUAAUAAUGGAAUGGUAGACCAUAGUCUGCUUGUAGAGGGCCUUGAAUUCUAGGCUAAUUAGUGUAGUCUUAGCCUAUAAGCAAUAAGGAGCACCACUCUCACAGAUAAAAGAGAGCAGACCACUCCAGCUUCAGAGUACCUUCAAUCAAAAGAAGCACGGACAUUGAUUACAAGAAGUUUUGUGAAAUGUCUCAAGUGUGUAUAACUAUUUCCCAUAUUUGUAACUUUGUUAUCUCCAUGGUAUCAGUGUUAUUUGGGAGGACAGCAAGAAGAAGAUAGCUGGCAAGAUUACGUCCUACUGGAGAUGAAAAGGACCCUAAGAAAUGUUUACAUUGUAAUACAGACCCUUCAUGAUGUGGCCAGGCAUGUCAAGGCCAUACAGACAAGAGAAGACAAACAUUCAGCCUAGAUAUGGAGAGGCAGCUGAAUAUUUACAUUACCCAACAGAGCAAAGAUCCCUAUACCCAACUUCCUAACUCAACAUCUAGACUUGAAUGUCUCAUGGGUACAAACAUGCCUGAAGCUGAACUCAUCCUCCUUCUUUGAUCUCAGAAGAUAGCACCGCCAUCAACCCAGCUGCCCAAGGGAAAAUUCUGGGAGUCAACCUCUAUUCCUUCUUUCUCCCACUUCACAUUCAGUCAGUCAUCAAGUCCUGCCAAUUAAAUCUCCUAAAAAUUUUUGAAAUCCAUUCACUUCUCUCCAUCCUCAUUGCAACUGCCAUUCUUACUUCAGGCCCCCAAGUUCAGACCAACUUACUGAACUCACUGCCUCUGAUCUUGCCACCCUGUCUCAUCUCCAGUUCAGUUGGUCACAUUGCAAAAGAAUGCCAUUGAUUUUUUUCCAUACAGAUCUGAUCUUAUCACCUUUGUUUAAAACACUUCAAAGACCUUCAAGAAAAAAAUUAAACUCUUUAACAUGAUUUUCAAGGCCCUUCAUAAUCAGAUCUUGCUUUGACAGUGCUGUGUAAUGAUUAGACUUGAGCAAGACUGGCUGGGUUCAAAUCUCAGCUUUAACACUUUUAGUAGCUGUGUAACUUUGAGCAAGUUAACCUCCCUGUACUUGAGUUUUCUCAGCUAUAAAACGGAGUAAUUACAAUGCCUACCUUCCAGGGUUAUUGUUUUUUUUUUGUUUGUUUUUUUCUUUACAGCGUCUCACUCUGUCACCCAGGCUGGAGUGCAGCGACUCACUCUCGGCUCACUGCAACCUCUGCCUACCAGGUUCAAGCGAUUC